rnacentral:rRNA from 1 species
AACGAACGCUGGCGGCAGGCUUAACACAUGCAAGUCGAACGAGAUCUUCGGAUCUAGUGGCGGACGGGUGAGGAACACGUGGGAACAUCCCUUUCAGUUCGGAAUAACGUUGGGAAACUAACGCUAAUACCGGAUACGUCCUUCGGGAGAAAGAUUUAUCGCUGAAAGAUUGGCCCGCGUCUGAUUAGCUAGUUGGUGAGGUAACGGCUCACCAAGGCUACGAUCAGUAGCUGAUCUGAGAGGAUGAUCAGCCACAUUGGGACUGAGACACGGCCCAAACUCCUACGGGAGGCAGCAGUGGGGAAUAUUGGACAAUGGGCGCAAGCCUGAUCCAGCCAUGCCGCGUGAGUGAUGACGGCCUUCGGGUUGUAAAGCUCUUUUGUCUGGGAAGAUAAUGACUGUACCGGAAGAAUAAGCCCCGGCAAACUUCGUGCCAGCCGCCGCAGUAA